AGGGAAGGGAAGGGAAGGGAAGGCUUUUAUCCUGUAGAGAAAAAAGAAAAAAGAAAAGUCGUCUUCUUCAGUGGAGGACAAGAAACGAGCACACACAUUCAACACGAGUUCUGGGCACAGAAUCAAUUUACUGAGGCUCAGUAAGUAUAUCCCUUCACAAACAUUCCUGUCUUGGCAUCGUCACUUUCACCCUCAGCAGAGUACUUACCGAGCUGAGCAAGGGAGUUUGCCUUUGCACGCACCAGAAGUGCUUUCUGUGCAGCCUCCACGUUUUCGGGGUGUCCUUGCCAUGUCUUGAGCACGGUGUUCUGCAACGCACGGGCAUAAGAGAAGGAUACAUGCCAGGGGUUGGGACUUUGGUUCAUGGCAUUCAGGUUCAAUGUGGCUUCCACUUCAGACUGCCCUCCAGACAA
rnacentral:misc_RNA from 1 species